rnacentral:rRNA from 1 species
GACGAACGCUGGCGGCGUGCUUAACACAUGCAAGUCGAACGGAGUGGCGAACGGGUGAGUAACACGUGGGUGACCUGCCCUGCACUUCGGGCUAAGCCUGGGAAACUGGGUCUAAUACCGGAUAGUGUGGGAUGGGCCGGAGGCCUAUCAGCUUGUUGGUGGGGUAAUUGCCUACACAGGCGGCGACGUGUAGCCGGCCUGAGAGGGUGGACGGCCACAUUGGGACUGAGAAACGGCCCAGUAUCCUACGGGAGGCAGCAGUGGGGAAGAUAGCAACAUGGGCGUACGCCUGAUGCAGGGACGCCGCGUGGGGGAGGACGACCUUCGGGUUGUAAACUCCUUUCACCAUCGACGCGGUAGAUGGAGAAGAAGCACCGGCUAACUACGUGCCAGCCGCCGCGGUAAUUC